GAUGCACUCAGGUUAGGCUGAGGCAGCAUGAAGGACCAGGUAACAGAAGCUACAAAGAACAAGAAAAUGUGGAAAGAAAAGGGGGAUCCCCGUGUCUUCCCCAGUUCUUCCUUGGUUCCUCUUCCUUGGUGAGAAGAAUGCUACCGACAGGUGAUUCAAAGUGGGCAAGUAGAGGAAAGAGAACAGAAUCCUUCCAGAUUCCUGGCUCCUUUGAUAGGAAAGAAAAUGGCAAACUUCAUCUCAGAGAGGAUGGAUAUGGGAGAACUCAAGUGUUUCUCUUGAACAGAAGAGAAUUAGCUUCACCCUGAAAUGCCUUGGCACCUGAACCAGAAGCAAAAGAGAGGAAGAGAAGUCUCACUUCUGUGGAAAGCUUGCUCCUGGACAAACCAAAAGAUUCACCCAAACACCAAGUUCAAGACAUGCUGGCAGUCACAGUCCUCGAAUGAGACAUUUAAUUAUACAGUGCUUCAUGACUUCCCUUCCCCAUCAUGAAACAAAAGGCAGAAAGAGUCCAAAUUUACGCUGGCAGUGUCU